UACGUAGGGGGCUAGCGUUGUCCGGAAUCAUUGGGCGUAAAGAGCGUGUAGGCGGUCCGGUAAGUCCGUUGUGAAAGUCAGGGGCUCAACCCUUGAAUGCCGGCGGAUACUGUCGGGCUAGAGUCCGGAAGAGGCAAGUGGAAUUCCCGGUGUAGCGGUGAAAUGCGCAGAUAUCAGGAGGAACACCAGCGGCGAAGGCGGCGCUCUGGGCUGGAACUGACGCUGAGGAGCGAAAGCGUGGGGAGCGAACAGG
rnacentral:rRNA from 1 species